CUAAAGCUAAACCUCAAAAUAUCAUUCGCUUGGCCUACAGUGGCGUAGUUCAGCGUCCAUAGAUUUCCAGCUUGGGCAUAUCCUGCUGACCGAAGCUGAAAGGCUGUUCCAGGGCCAGGCACUUACAGUACUGGAGAACAAUGACAAGAAGAGUGAACAUGAGCAGCAUCCAUGACCAAAUCCCCAUACAUGUUCAUGACCUGGGUGACGCAGUGAGUUACAGACGUAAGAGAGAGAGCUAACUCAGCACAAUCCCAGAACAAGGGCCCCCCAUUCAUCAAAUAAAAGAGCCAUAACUGUAGAUAUCUUCUCUAUACAACUCUGACAAGCUGAUGUAAAAGACAGUGCCAUAAUAGUGACAAAAGUACUGAGAGAGUUACAAAUUUGAUCAACUACAAUGAAAGAGAAUAUGACAUUAAUAUCACAAAAAUAUUGGGGCUCAUUCACUAAUAACAACAAGUGUUGUUAAAUGUGCCAAAAAGGUUCCACACACAAUUUCUAGUGGAUUCAAAACAGGUGGGUAUGGACAUAAUUAUUUAUUACCCUUCAUUUAAUAUGUUGAUGAAUCUGAAAUAUGCUAAAUUUAAAAAAAAGCACAAUCCCCAUAUAUAAUGAAGUUUGCACAACGUGACGCAUUCUUAAAGUCAAGUGUGCCAUAUUUAUAGGAUAUAUAUGGUUACAAAAGAUUUCUAUUUUAAAUGUUCUUUUGAACUUUCAGUUGAUCAAUGAAUCUUGAAAA